GACAGAGGAGCCAAGCGUUGUCCGGAUUGACUGGGCGUAAAGCGCACGCAGGCGGUCGCGCGCGUGGGGUGUGAAAUCUGGCCGCUUAACGGCCAGGCGCCAUCCCAUACGGCGCGACUGGAGUGAUGCAGAGGUCGAUGGAAUUGCCGGUGUAGUGGUGAAAUGCGUAGAUAUCGAGAGGAACACCUGCGGCGAAGGCGGGUUGCUGGGCUGACACUGACGCUGAGGCGCGAAAGCUAGGGGAGCGAACGGG
rnacentral:rRNA from 1 species